rnacentral:rRNA from 1 species
UACGAAGGGUGCAAACGUUGCUCGGAAUUAUUGGGCGUAAAGCGCGCGCAGGCGGUUCUUUAAGUCUGAUGUGAAAGCCCACGGCUCAACCGUGGAGGGUCAUUGGAAACUGGAGAACUUGAGUACAGAAGAGGAAAGCGGAAUUCCACGUGUAGCGGUGAAAUGCGUAGAGAUGUGGAGGAACACCAGUGGCGAAGGCGGCUUUCUGGUCUGUAACUGACGCUGAGGCGCGAAAGCGUGGGGAGCAAACAGG